GAUGAGCGCUGGCGGCGUGCCUAAUACAUGCAAGUCGAGCGAACAGACGAGGAGCUUGCUCCUCUGACGUUAGCGGCGGACGGGUGAGUAACACGUGGAUAACCUACCUAUAAGACUGGGAUAACUUCGGGAAACCGGAGCUAAUACCGGAUAAUAUAUUGAACCGCAUGGUUCAAUAGUGAAAUACGGUUUUGCUGUCACUUAUAGAUGGAUCCGCGCCGCAUUAGCUAGUUGGUAAGGUAACGGCUUACCAAGGCAACGAUGCGUAGCCGACGUGAGAGGGUGAUCGGCCACACUGGAACGGGGACACGGUCCAGACUCCUACGGGAGGCAGCAGUAGGGAAUCUUCCGCAAUGGGCGAAAGCCUGACGGAGCAACGCCGCGUGAGUGAUGGAGGUCUUCGGAUCGUAAAACUCUGUUAUUAGGGAAGAACAAAUGUGUAAGUAACUAUGCACGUCUUGACGGUACCUAAUCAGAAAGCCACGGCUAACUACGUG
rnacentral:rRNA from 1 species